rnacentral:rRNA from 1 species
UACGAAGGGGGCGAGCGUUGUUCGGAAUCACUGGGCGUAAAGCGUGCGUAGGCUGUUCUACAAGUUGGAAGUGAAAUGCCAGGGCUCAACCCUGGAACUGCUUUCAAAGCUGUAGAACUAGAAUUCGGGAGAGGAUAGCGGAAUUUCCAGUGUAGUAGUGAAAUACGUAGAUAUUGGAAGGAACACCAGUGGCGUAAGCGGCUAUCUGGACCGACAUUGACGCUGAGGCACGAAAGCGUGGGGAUCAAACAGG